rnacentral:rRNA from 1 species
ACUCAAAGGAAUUGACGGGGGCCCGCACAAGCGGCGGAGCAUGUGGAUUAAUUCGAUGCAACGCGAAGAACCUUACCUGGGUUUGACAUGCACAGGACGCCGGCAGAGAUGUCGGUUCCCUUGUGGCCUGUGUGCAGGUGGUGCAUGGCUGUCGUCAGCUCGUGUCGUGAGAUGUUGGGUUAAGUCCCGCAACGAGCGCAACCCUUGUCUCAUGUUGCCAGCACGUAAUGGUGGGGACUCGUGAGAGACUGCCGGGGUCAACUCGGAGGAAGGUGGGGAUGACGUCAAGUCAUCAUGCCCCUUAUGUCCAGGGCUUCACACAUGCUACAAUGGCCGGUACAAAGGGCUGCGAUGCCGUGAGGUGGAGCGAAUCCUUGUUAAAGCCGGUCUCAGUUCGGAUCGGGGUCUGCAACUCGACCCCGUGAAGUCGGAGUCGCUAGUAAUCGCAGAUCAGCAACGCUGCGGUGAAUACGUUCCCGGGCCUUGUACACACCGCCCGU